GACGAACGCUGGCGGCGUGCCUAAUACAUGCAAGUAGAACGCUGAAGGAGGAGCUUGCUUCUCUGGAUGAGUUGCGAACGGGUGAGUAACGCGUAGGUAACCUGCCUGGUAGCGGGGGAUAACUAUUGGAAACGAUAGCUAAUACCGCAUAAGAGUAGAUGUCGCAUGACAUUUGCUUAAAAGGUGCAAUUGCAUCACUACCAGAUGGACCUGCGUUGUAUUAGCUAGUUGGUGAGGUAACGGCUCACCAAGGCAACGAUACAUAGCCGACCUGAGAGGGUGAUCGGCCACACUGGGACUGAGACACGGCCCAGACUCCUACGGGAGGCAGCAGUAGGGAAUCUUCGGCAAUGGACGGAAGUCUGACCGAGCAACGCCGCGUGAGUGAAGAAGGUUUUCGGAUCGUAAAGCUCUGUUGUAAGAGAAGAACGAGUGUGAGAGUGGAAAGUCACACUGUGACGUAUCUACCAGAAAGACGCA
rnacentral:rRNA from 1 species